rnacentral:rRNA from 1 species
AUACGUAGGGGGCGAGCGUUGUCCGGAAUGACUGGGCGUAAAGGGCGUGUAGGCGGCUGAUUAAGUCUGGAGUGAAAGUCCCGCUUUCAAGGUGGGAAUUGCUUUGGAGACUGGUCGGCUUGAGUGCGGAAGAGGUAAGUGGAAUUCCCAGUGUAGCGGUGAAAUGCGUAGAGAUUGGGAGGAACACCAGUGGCGGAGGCGACUUACAGGACUGUAAAUGAAGCUGAGGCGCGAAAGUGUGGGGAGCAAACAGGAUUAGAUACCCUGGUAGCCCACACUGUAAACGAUGAAUGCUAGGUGUAGGGGGUAGCGACCCCUUCUGUGCCGCAGUAAACACAAUAAGCAUUACGACUGGGGAGUUCGGCCGCAAGGUUGAAGAUCAAACGAAUGGACGGGG